rnacentral:misc_RNA from 1 species
AACGAAGACCACACUUAGCUAACAUUUAGAUAGACUUUCAGAAACAAAAUGGCCUACGUGGGUCUUAGGAAACCACCACGACCCACAGUCAGGGUUUACAAUGAUUCGGACUAAAACGAACGUUUACUGAACCAGAACAGUUAUAGCUUUACGAUGUUACAAUCAAACUUUCGAAACACGAAGUUUAAACUUCUGUGUAUAAUGAUUGUAGCAUUAUUUGAUGCUGUGAUAUCUGAUGGACCUUACGGUUGCGAAGAUUUGGAUUUUGGAAUUUACGAGUGUGAUUUCCGUUUAGUUAGCACACCCUUUAAUUCUGCCGAUUUCUUUCCGCAAAAGCCACAACAGCUGACUCUGAAAUAUGUAAAUAGGCCUUUGACUUCAGGACUUUUUGCUGCAUUCGCUGAUAUAGACACGGAUUCGUUUGUUAUGGGUGGUGAACCAGCCAGAUUGGAUAUAGUUUGCUCUUACGGUGUCUCACUCAUGAUGGACCCUGGUGCGUUUACCGGGCUUAACUGGAUUCAAGCUGUAAGCUUCAGCAGAUGUCAACUGGUAACAUUCCCCGAGUCGGCCUUUGCUGCCUUUGGGACCCUAGACAGUCUCGCAUUCUAUGGUGGAACACUGGGCAACGUAGACAGAGAUGGCCUCAAAGGUUUAAAUAUUGCCGAAGACACGUCUUUAUUUGAUCCCAAGGGGGAGAUCGUGUUUGAUAGAGCCCAGUUCUCAAGCGGCAGAAUCCCCUUUAGCUUCCUCUCACACGCUAAGAAUGCUAGCAGUGUCAUCCUCAACUCGAAUGGUGUGAAGACAAUUGAUGCGUUGGUUUUGGACGGAUUCUUCGAUCUGAAGAGACUAACUCUCAGUGGCCAGCAGUUUGAUUCCUUGCCCAGCGACACCUUUUACGGCCUGGAUGGAUUGGGUCAUAUCACUAUGGACCGUAUGCCUUGGGAAUGCACAUGCGAGAACGCCUGGUUCUUCACGUGGGCGUUCGUGCGGAAGGCCACAUUGGAAGGUGAUCUCAUUUGUAAUGGACCAGCCGACUAUAAAGGUCAGAGGUUCAGAGUAUUUAACAAUGUACUUUGCCCCUCAGUAGACGAGGAUUCAACAGCAACAAGUAUAGAUCUAUUUGGGAUUAGCAUGGAGAUUUAUGAUCUUGUGAGUUAUUGUGUUACUAUCAUCGCAUUGGUAAUAUCAAUUAUUGGACUGGCUAUUGCCUGUCACAACAAGAAACGACUAUCAAGAGUCACCCCCGUGGAAACACUUACAUCGGUCAAGAUUGACAAGACAAACCAAAGUAAAGUAACAGGGGGAGUGAAGGGAAAAUUUCAGACAGCUGUUAAGAAAAUCACGAAACCAGUUGGUAAAAGUAAGGGAAAUGCAUGGGGAUAAUACAGAUGAACUAGUGCAUACAAUGAAAUAGUGAAUACAAUGAAUUAACUAGUGCAUGGGGAUAAUAAGAAUGAAAAAGUGCGUGGGAUAAUACAAUGAAAUAGUACAUGGGGAUAAUAGAAAUGAAAUAGUGCAUGUGAUAAUACAAUGAAA